AGCUUUGCGCAGUGACAUUACCGUAGCUGAUGAGGUCCAUCCGAGGCGCGGUUAUUGCUGAUUGAAAACUUUUCCCAAUACCCCGCGAGACGACCUGAAACAUAGUCGGCUUUGCAAUUUUUGUGGGCCCUGCUUAGGG
rnacentral:snRNA from 2 species